rnacentral:rRNA from 1 species
AGUACGGCGAGUGAACAGGGACUAGCCCAGCACCGAAGCCUGUGACCAUUUGGUUACUAGGCAAUGUGGUGUUUAGGUCAUCUCUUGGCGCUAUUGCUCCACCCUAAGUCCAGCAAUGAGUACGGCUUACUGGUAUGGCCCAUAGAGGGUGAAAGGCCCGUGUGGGUGGAGAAUAAAUGGACAAUAGUGCCCUGAGUAGACCUUGGAGUCGGGUUGUUUGUGAAUGCAGCCCAAAUUGGGUGGUAAACUCCAUCUAAGGCUAAAUACUGACACGAGUCCGAUAGCGAACAAGUACCGUGAGGGAAAGUUGAAAAGUACUUUGAAGAGAAAGUGAACAGUGCGUGAAACCGCUCAAAGGUAAACGGGUGGAGUUGAACUGUAAGCCUUGGGAAUUCAACUGGUGGGUUUGAUAUGAGCUUGGGCAUAAUUGGUCAACUUUUGGUGUCUGCUUAAUUGCAGGUGUUCGUUCAUUAUUGGUCGAAUAUGUACGCUGCGCUUAUCAAGUGUUGUACGCGCCAAAAGUUGUGGGCCUGCUCGCCAGUGCACUUUCCCUAGGUGAUCACCACGACCGGCGUUGCUGUCUGUCUACAUUGGUCAAACCGGUUCUAUUUAUCCCUUGUGGUUGAAUUUAAUCGGGAUGGCAGGUAGCCCAUUGAUAAUGAAUUAGUUUCGGCUAAUUAGUAGUCAUUGGGUGUAAUAAGCUGAUCAUUGUGGAUCUGUGCAGUACGUCGGAGAUUUCGGUCAUGGUGUGUGCAUGCGUGCCAUGGUAUUUGUCAUAAGUUAGUUUGAUUGGUUGUCUACUCACACAAGUGGGUCAGCUAAUGGCUAGUUUAUGAUUUAAUAUCGGUAGCGUAUGUGACACAAAAUUGAGCCAAUAGUCAGUGGUGUUGCGGUAGACUAUCCACCUGACCCGUCUUGAAACACGGACCAAGGAGUUUAACAUGUACGCGAGUCAUUGGGCGUUACGAAACCCAAAGGCGCAGUGAAAGUAAAGGUUCGGCUUGUUCGAACUGAGGUGAGAUCCUGCUGUGUCUCGUGCCUGGUACCACCAAGUAUUUGAACAGUAGGCGCAUCACCAGCCCGUCUCAUGGUGUAGUCAUAUGACAUAAGUUGUAUGCGUCACCGGGGCGGAGCCUGAGCGUACACGUUGAGACCCGAAAGAUGGUGAACUAUGCUUGCGCAGGUUGAAGCCAGAGGAAACUCUGGUGGAGGACCGUAGCGAUUCUGACGUGCAAAUCGAUCGUCAAACGUGAGUAUAGGGGCGAAAGACUAAUCGAACC